rnacentral:rRNA from 1 species
GACGAACCGUGCGAACGUUGUUCGGAAUCACUGGGCUUAAAGGGCGCGUAGGCGGCUUAACAAGUCGGGGGUGAAAGCCCCCGGCUCAACUGGGGAGGGUCAUUCGAUACUGAUCGACUCGAAGGCAGGAGAGGGUAGUGGAAUUCCCGGUGUAGUGGUGAAAUGCGUAGAUAUCGGGAGGAACACCAGUGGCGAAGGCGACUACCUGGCCUGUUCUUGACGCUGAGGCGCGAAAGCUAGGGGAGCAAACGGG